UUAUUUUUAGUUUUAAUAUUAUGCAAACAUCACACAAAGAAUAAAUAUUUUUAUGCAAAAACUUGCGCAUAGGCUGUGAAGAUAAUGUGUUUAAAUAUUAAGAAUAAUAUACUUCUUGAGUUUAUCAACAUUAAGAAUAUGUUACGUACAUCUUUGUAUAUGGAGAGAAACAUAUAUUUAUUGUAUUUGAAUAAAAAGACUUGGGAAAGCAAUGCAUUAGCAUGUAGUCUGAUGAGAUACUUAUGAUUGUGUCUUAAUAUUAUUGUGCUUAUGUUAGUGAAAAGUGUACAAUGUAUUUUUAAUAAAAACUACAUGUGAAUAAAUAAUGUACAAUGUAGUAAUGUAGCAGUUCUGCAGAUGUCAAAUGCCUCUUAGGACAUAAGAAUGAGAUUUUAUUAAUAAUAAAAAUGAUAGAGAAAUCUA